ensembl:lncRNA
UUUUGUGUCUUUAUUAGGCUAAUAUGAUUAUCAUAUGUCAACAAUUAAGAAAAUAAUUUUCAAAAAAAAAAACCUGCGAAAGAUUCAGCUAUCUGGGUGUAGCUAGUGAAACAAGAUUGAUUGCUUCAGUGAAUUGUUUUACUGUCGAGGGACUUAAAUAACCCAUUUAACAUUACACGAGAACGGACUCCUUCUGGACCGUUUGCGGCGUCUCUUCCCUCAGAUCACAGAGAGGAAAUCAUCAUCUUCAUCAUCAUCAUCAUCAUCAUCACACGGACUCAGAUGUCCCGCGGCGCUGCGUCGGUGAAAUUGGAUAUUUAAGGCAGCGCAGAAAGCAGUUCACAUUCACUCUCCGCGGCGCGCGGCCAGAGAGACGCUCUGCAACUGACUGACAGAUAAUAUGAGACUACAGUCUUGAGAACGAACGACGCUCCAUAACGUGACCGGGAGGAGAACGAGGUACACGGACUCUGUGAGUCCUCGGUGAACGCGGAGGCUGCUUGAGGAGGACGGUGGAUGACCGCGAGCGCUCACUUCAGAAGAGCGCGUGUCACUGAACUCAGCUGCAGGGAAUUAGUAGGACUUUUUCCUCUACAGUGGCAGGCCGUGCUCCACAGAACACUCUCUCAGGUCUGUAUUAUCUGAUCGGGUCCAGACUGAAUUUCACCAUUUUGUCAGCACCAAGGCAGCAGAAGCAGAAGAGCUGAAGGUGACCUGUGGCUGGGCCGGGGGCUGCAACACAGGACAUGGGAGCUGCCUCUCACUCCCGCUCGUGUCUUGUGUUGCAGCCAGUGGAACUGCUGCACUGUCCACAUCAGAGAAGGAAGGAAGCAUCGCGCUCUGGGAACAUUACACCAUCUUACAGUUGCUGUCUGUCAAAUCUUUGCUCCUCUCAUCUUCUUCUAAAAGGAAAACACAGAGCUGAUAAUGACAUAGCGUUAAGACCUUCUGGUGCAGUAAAAAGACUAAAGCAUGAGAGAAAAUGGGAAGAAUGA